GCUUUGGCGGGCCCACCGGGGCCACCUGGUCGCCGGGGGACGCACGUCCCCGGGCCCGCGCCCGCCGAAGCGCUCUGUGAACCCUGAUGAAGAUGGGCUGUCUGAGUACUAUGAAAAUUGUCAAAACUUUCAACAAUGGAUCUCUUGGUUCCGGCAUCGAUGAAGAACGCAGCGAAAUGCGAUAAGUAAUGUGAAUUGCAGAAUUCCGUGAAUCAUCGAAUCUUUGAACGCACAUUGCGCCCCCUGGCAUUCCGGGGGGCAUGCCUGUCCGAGCGUCAUUUCUGCCCUCAAGCACGGCUUGUGUGUUGGGUGUGGUCCCCCCGGGGACCUGCCCGAAAGGCAGCGGCGACGUCCGUCUGGUCCUCGAGCGUAUGGGGCUCUGUCACUCGCUCGGGAAGGACCUGCGGGGGUUGGUCACCACCAUGUUUUUACCACGGUUGACCUCGGAUCAGGUAGGAGUUACCCGCUGAACUUAAGCA
rnacentral:rRNA from 1 species